rnacentral:rRNA from 1 species
AACGAACGCUGGCGGCAGGCUUAACACAUGCAAGUCGAACGGGUGUAGCAAUACAUCAGUGGCAGACGGGUGAGUAACACGUGGGAACCUUCCUAGGGGUACGGAACAACUCAGGGAAACUUGAGCUAAUACCGUAUACGUCCGUGAGGAGAAAGAUUUAUCGCCCUUAGACGGGCCCGCGUCGGAUUAGCUAGUUGGUGGGGUAACGGCCUACCAAGGCGACGAUCCGUAGCUGAUCUUAGAAGGUGAUCAGCCACACUGGGACUGAGACACGGCCCAGACUCCUACGGGAGGCAGCAGUGGUGAAUCUUGGACAAUGGGCGCAAGCCUGAUCCAGCCAUGCCGCGUGAGUGAAGAAGGUCUUCGGAUUGUAGAGCUCUUUUGCCAGGGACGAUAAUGACGGUGCCUGGAGAAUAAGCCCCGGCAAACUUCGUGCCAGCAGCCGCCGUAA